rnacentral:lncRNA from 1 species
UUCCUAAAAAUUUGGGCGCCUUCCCAAACGUGAGGCACGAUUUCCUAACUAUUUGUAUGAGUUACUUCUUGUCUGCCUGCGAUUAUGUUUCUUAAAGUAACUCAAGAUUUGGUAAUGGAAAAUGUAGGAAUUAGGAUACAUAAAUUAAAGUUUCAACUUCUAGUCUACAUAACCUUUCACUUGGGGAGAGAAAAAACAAAAGCAAUUCGGCACAAUCCAAAAGCACAUAGUUCAGCUCAAAUUUUCAAUAAUUUCAGAGAGGGAUGAAUAGGUUCCAAAGACCGACGAUACCACGCCUACUGCAAUAAUCAAUAUACAAACCGAACCCUGCCACAAAGAAAACAGAAAAAGAAACAAAAAAUCAGGAGAAAGUGCACAAGAAAAAGCAGUGAGAGUCAUAGUUAAGUAUAAUGCUUAGGAUGGCAAUUACCCUGAUUAUAGUCAUAGUUAAGUAUAAUGCUUAGGAUGGCAAUUACCCUGAAAUAAUCAGGGCCCCGCCCCGGCCCACGCCGACCCUAAUAGGGCGGGUUUGGGAUAGAAAUAAUCGGGUUCGGGUGGGUUAUGGGGGAAAAAAUAAAAUCCGGUUCGGUUCGGUACGG